GUACUCUCUUCCUGGUCCAAACAUCCUGAAAGACACCAAGGCAAAAGUUACCUUCUCCAGUAGGCUUCUUCACAGAUGAGACUUCCCUGGGCUUCACCUCAUUCUAAGAAGGCUCCAUUCUGCUCUCUCAGUAUCCUCUUCGAUCCCCUCCAGCAAAACUGGCCCUAAGACCUCUACUCCUAUUGCACUUCUGUGCAGAAGUUGUGGGAUGAGAAGCCAGCACAAAGGACAGGGCGGGCAGCUGGCAUCCAGGCAGCCCAAAGGGGACGCACUGCAUUUCCUUCCUUAACCUGUCUGGAAGCCUCGCUGUUCACGUCUUCAAAACUGUUAAUCCUCCACCCUGAACUGGCUGCUUUCCAAGUUACUACACCAUACACAAGAAAUCCAUUCUAAUAAAAGUAGUCUUUAAAGAA